rnacentral:rRNA from 1 species
AGGGAAUCUUGCGCAAUGGGCGAAAGCCUGACGCAGCAACGCCGCGUGAGGGAAGAAGGCUUUCGGGUUGUAAACCUCUUUCAGGUGGGACGAAGCUUCCAGGGUUAAUAGCCCAUGGGGUGACGGUACCUCCAGAAGAAGCCCCGGCUAACUACGUGCCAGCAGCCGCGGUAAUACGUAGGGGGCAAGCGUUGUCCGGAAUCAUUGGGCGUAAAGCGCGUGUAGGCGGCUUGAUAAGUCCGGUGUGAAACCUUGGGGCUCAACCCCAAGCCUGCACCGGAUACUGUCUCGCUUGAGUUCGGGAGGGGAGAGCGGAAUUCCUAGUGUAGCGGUGAAAUGCGCAGAUAUUAGGAAGAACACCAAUGGCGAAGGCAGCUCUCUGGAACGAUACUGACGCUGAGACGCGAAAGCGUGGGGAGCGAAC